UGUUGCAGAUAUUGAGGAAUAAUUCCACAUUAGUUGUGUACAAGGUCUUGGACAUGUUUAUAAGCAAUGAGCAAUCCUCUCUUGUAGAACCGGUUUUAUGAGAUGAGUUAGGCUCAUAAAUUUUUUCAUAGUAUCAGAGCUAGGUUCAGGACGAAUGAGAGCUUACACUACUUACCCCGUGACAAGAACCAGAAAAAAUACUGGCCUGCACGUGAGGGAGGGUAUUGAGGAAUAAUUCCACAUUGGUUGUGUACAAGGUCUUGGGCAUGUUUAUAAGCAAUGAACAAUCCUCUCUUAUA